rnacentral:rRNA from 1 species
UACGAAGGGGGCUAGCGUUGUUCGGCAUUACUGGGCGUAAAGCGCACGUAGGCGGAUCGAUCAGUCAGGGGUGAAAUCCCAGGGCUCAACCCUGGAACUGCCUUUGAUACUGUCGAUCUGGAGUAUGGAAGAGGUGAGUGGAAUUCCGAGUGUAGAGGUGAAAUUCGUAGAUAUUCGGAGGAACACCAGUGGCGAAGGCGGCUCACUGGUCCAUUACUGACGCUGAGGUGCGAAAGCGUGGGGAGCAAACAGG